rnacentral:rRNA from 2 species
CCGUACACAAAAGCGCAUGUGCUGUGAGCUCGAUGAGUAGGGCGGGACACGUGGUAUCCUGUCUGAAUAUGGGGGGACCAUCCUCCAAGGCUAAAUACUCCUGACUGACCGAUAGUGAACCAGUACCGUGAGGGAAAGGCGAAAAGAACCCCGGCGAGGGGAGUGAAAAAGAACCUGAAACCGUGUACGUACAAGCAGUGGGAGCACAGGUUUACCUGUGUGACUGCGUACCUUUUGUAUAAUGGGUCAGCGACUUAUAUUCUGUAGCAAGGUUAACCGUAUAGGGGAGCCGGAGGGAAACCGAGUCUUAAUUGGGCGUUAAGUUGCAGGGUAUAGACCCGAAACCCGGUGAUCUAGCCAUGGGCAGGUUGAAGGUUGGGUAACACUAACUGGAGGACCGAACCGACUAAUGUUGAAAAAUUAGCGGAUGACCUGUGGCUGGGGGUGAAAGGCCAAUCAAACCGGGAGAUAGCUGGUUCUCCCCGAAAGCUAUUUAGGUAGCGCCUCGUGAAUUCAUCUCCGGGGGUAGAGCACUGUUUCGGCUAGGGGGCCAUCCCGGCUUACCAACCCGAUGCAAACUGCGAAUACCGGAGAAUGUUAUCACGGGAGACACACGGCGGGUGCUAACGUCCGUCGUGAAGAGGGAAACAACCCAGACCGCCAGCUAAGGUCCCAAAGUCAUGGUUAAGUGGGAAACGAUGUGGGAAGGCCCAGACAGCCAGGAUGUUGGCUUAGAAGCAGCCAUCAUUUAAAGAAAGCGUAAUAGCUCACUGGUCGAGUCGGCCUGCGCGGAAGAUGUAACGGGGCUAAACCAUGCACCGAAGCUGCGGCAGCGAACGUAUCACCCAAGACAACUUUACGGAGUUGACGAUUGACGGAGCGAAGCGACGUCAAAGCGUUCAUUAAAGUCGAGUUGGCUUAGGGAUACGUUCGUUGGGUAGGGGAGCGUUCUGUAAGCCUGUGAAGGUGUGUCGUGAGGCAUGCUGGAGGUAUCAGAAGUGCGAAUGCUGACAUAAGUAACGAUAAAGCGGGUGAAAAGCCCGCUCGCCGGAAGACCAAGGGUUCCUGUCCAACGUUAAUCGGGGCAGGGUGAGUCGACCCCUAAGGCGAGGCCGAAAGGCGUAGUCGAUGGGAAACGGGUUAAUAUUCCCGUACUUGGUGUUACUGCGAAGGGGGGACGGAGAAGGCUAUGUUGGCCGGGCGACGGUUGUCCCGGUUUAAGCGUGUAGGUGUGUGUUCCAGGUAAAUCCGGUUCACUUUAACACUGAGGCGUGACGACGAGGCACUACGGUGCUGAAGCAACAAAUGCCCUGCUUCCAGGAAAAGCCUCUAAGCAUCAGGUAACAUCAAAUCGUACCCCAAACCGACACAGGUGGUCAGGUAGAGAAUACCAAGGCGCUUGAGAGAACUCGGGUGAAGGAACUAGGCAAAAUGGUGCCGUAACUUCGGGAGAAGGCACGCUGACACGUAGGUGAAGUGAUUUACUCAUGGAGCUGAAGUCAGUCGAAGAUACCAGCUGGCUGCAACUGUUUAUUAAAAACACAGCACUGUGCAAACACGAAAGUGGACGUAUACGGUGUGACGCCUGCCCGGUGCCGGAAGGUUAAUUGAUGGGGUCAGCG